rnacentral:misc_RNA from 1 species
GGACUACCGGGGUUUCUAAUCCUGUUUGCUCCCCACGCUUUCGUGCCUCAGUGUCAGUUACAGUCCAGAGAGCCGCCUUCGCUACUGGUAUUCCUCCUAAUAUCUACGCAUUUCACCGCUACACUAGGAAUUCUACUCUCCUCUCCUGCACUCAAGUUCUCUAGUUUCAAAAGCUUACUACGGUUGAGCCGUAGCCUUUCACUUCUGACUUAAAAAACCACCUACGCACCCUUUACGCCCAGUAAUUCCGGAUAACGCUAGCCCCCUACGUAUUACCGCGGCUGCUGGCACGUAGUUAGCCGGGGCUUCCUCCUCAAGUACCGUCAUUAUCUUCCUUGAGGACAGAGCUUUACGACCCGAAGGCCUUCAUCGCUCACGCGGCGUUGCUGCAUCAGGCUUU